CUACGGGGCGCAGCAGUGGGGAAUAUUGCACAAUGGAGGAAACUCUGAUGCAGCAACGCCGCGUGGAGGAUGACACUUUUCGGAGCGUAAACUCCUUUUAUAUAGGAAGAAGAUGACGGUACUAUAUGAAUAAGCGCCGGCUAGCUCCGUGCCAGCAGCCGCGGUAAUACGGAGGGCGCAAGCGUUACUCGGAAUCACUGGGCUUAAAGAGCGUGUAGGCGGAUUAAAAAGUCAGAAGUGAAAUCCUAUAGCUUAACUAUAGAACUGCUUCUGAAACUCUUAAUCUAGAAUGUGGGAGAGGUAGAUGGAAUUUCUGGUGUAGGGGUAAAAUCCGUAGAGAUCAGAAGGAAUACCGAUUGCGAAGGCGAUCUACUAGAACAUUAUUGACGCUGAGACGCGAAAGCGUGGGGAGCAAACAGGAUUAGAUACCCUGGUAGUC
rnacentral:rRNA from 1 species